ACAGCUUUAAAACAUUGAGUAAUUUUCGUUAAUGUACAGUUGUGCAAUGCAUUCACUGAAAGUUAAUUAGGAUUUUAGCGAGCAUUUUGCCGGAAAUUAUUGCAUUAGCUAAGUAAUAAAAUUACAGCGCAACAUAGUGUUCCGGGAACAGACAUGACACCAUCCGCUCGUGUGCACUUCCUAAAAUGCUGUACAGUAAUAUGUCGCUGGCGUUUGCCAUGGUUACCUAUUUAUUGACCGGGAGCCUCCUAAUUGGGGUGUGCCAAUGGUGCACGGUAUUAAUUAUGGGCAGACGUGUGUUUUGGCUGGCGCUGCCCAUGGCCAGCGGGAAAGCAUCAUUCGAGUAGGAUUUUAUGAGUAAUCAGCAGAGUUAAGUGCACUGCGACCGCCUUUUAGAAAACUAAGGGAAUAGCUCAUUUUGUGAAUUUUGGAUCAACUUCCAACAUUCGUUAGUUGGUUUCCAGUCAUAGCCUGGGUUGCUGUCUGGUAGCAACAAUAGCAGGCCAGGAAGCUAAUUAGGAACGUUUUGAUUUACAUGCCUAGGUCCUAGUCCAUCAAAUCUUGCCGCUGUCCAGAAGGGUGAUAUCCUACUUUUUUGCUAAAUCGUCAGCCUCGUUUCUCGGAAUUCCAGCAAAGCCUGACACCAAUCAGAAAGUUACCCUAUUGGUCUUGCAUGCUCAUUCAGGAAUUAGACUCCCGGCCGUUCCAGCUCAGACAUGACCUUGUAGGCGGUCAACGCUUAGAUCUCUACUUAUGAAUACAGUCGAUUUCAAAUUGAGAGAUGCCAAAAUAUUAUAUUUUCCCACUGAGUCUGAGUCUGAGUAAGCGUCCGUCAUAUGCUUUCCUUUCAUAUUGUAGGUGAGAUAGGUAGAGAGUCUGGUCUAUUCACAAUUACUAGUUGGCUCUGCGCAGCAGUGGUCGCUACCUACUUCCUGUAAUUCGAAUUUGCCUUGUUUUCUUCUUUUUUCGAUGUGGAUGUAAGCAGGUUUAUCCCAGGCAGAAGUCUGUAGCCACUGAAGGAUAAUAACGCAUUGCGCCCGAGGCACACGUGUCUGGCGAAUUAUGGUGCCAUUGACGCUUGCGAUCAUUCGCUGCCUGGCGCUCCACUCUGAAGGAGACACUGCCCAGCGCUAUAAGUUUCGCCUCUUUCGGUCGUAAGCCCCUCUCCAGGUGACUAAGGGACCAGCUUGGAGCUUGGCUACUUAAUCCUACAUAAGUGGUUGCCCAGAUUCGCGUAUGGGAGGACACCGAUGCCGGACACCGCAUAACCAACCUCUACUUGUGGUGUGGAGGCAAACUCCUUUGUACGCAACGGCAUGAUUACGGUGAUGAGCGGGGCACCUGCUCGGCGGAUACAUUCUGUGUUAAAGUUAACAAGAGACCCGUUGCGCCGCAACCAUCGGAAAGAUUUAAUUUCUAUGAAAGCUAAUACAAUGAUGGCUUAGGCCAAAAAAUAUAUAGGUUAGCGCUCAAUCGACUUUACUUUAUAUCCUGCGUGCUUCUUAUUCAUGCCAUAUACAAACAUUUGUGUGAACACCCAAGGCCACAUAUUUAUGGAGCGACGGUCGAGUUGGGUCCUGAUUUAAAUACAGCAAAAGCAAAUUGUGAGCUGUGAGCAAAUUCUGAGAACGAGCUAUCUGCCAAUGCAUGCAGUUCCGUAAUGUGGCAUGGGUGUUUGCCAUGGUUACCUUUUUAUUACUGGAAUCCUCUUAAUCUGGCGUGUUACCGUAGUCUACUAUUUAUGGUUGCUGCACACGGCCGACAGCUUAACUCAAAUGCAAUGCUUCAGUUUUUAAGAGGGAAAGGAUGACAAAAAGAGCGACGCAUUUAUGGAACACAUCAAGCAUAUCUUUCAAUAAACAAUUGGCAAGCA